CUUCAGUUAGAACGUUCUCUCAACCUUUAAAGCGUUCGGAGUCCGAGAUAGACUAAAGCAGAUGUCAGGUCUCAGGAGAUCUGGAACUGAUGGAUUCUACAGAUAUAGUGUCAAUAAAUGGAACGUUGGUUCUUCAAUUAGAACGUUCCCUCAACCUUUAGAACGUUCGCAGUCCGAUCUGGAAUGUAGCAGGUGUCUCAGGUGCUCUGGAACUGAUAUUGGAUGGAGAGGUGUGAUUUUGUACCCAAGCUAUAGCCACGCUGUGCUGAAAUGAAAACUGAGAAGGAGGUGCAACAUUGGGUGCACCCUAUAUCGUCC